CAUGUGGGGCAAGCGUUGUUCGGAAUUACUGGGCAUAAAGGGUGCGUAGGCGGCUUGUUAAGUCAGGGGUGAAAGUUUUCGGCCCAACCGGAAAAUUGCCUUUGAUACUGGCGAGCUCGAGUGCGUGAGGGGUAACCGGAACGAGCAGUGUAGCGGUGAAAUGCGUAGAUAUUGCUCGGAAGGCCAACGGCGAAGGCAGGUUACUGGUACGCAACUGACGCUGAGGCACGAAAGCGUGGGGAGCAAACAGGAUUAGAUACCCUGGUAGUCCACGCCGUAAACGAUGAGCACUAGGUAGGUGCCGAGCUAUUCGGUGCCUGCCGCAGGUAAUUUGGUAAGUGCUCCGCCUGGGGAGUAUGGUCGCAAGGCUG
rnacentral:rRNA from 1 species